rnacentral:rRNA from 1 species
UACGGGGGGGGGCAAGCGUUGUUCGGAAUUACUGGGCGUAAAGGGCUCGUAGGCGGCCAACUAAGUCGGAUGUGAAAAUCCCCCAGGCUUAACCUGGGGAACUGCAUCCGAUACUGGAUGGCUUGAAUUCGGGAGAGGGAUGCAGAAUUCCAGGUGUAGCGGUGAAAAUGCGUAGAUAUCUGGAGGAAUACCGGUGGCGAAGGCGGCAUCCUGGACCGAGAUUGACGCUGAUGAGCGAAAGCUAGGGGGAGCAAACGGG